AGGCGCUCUUGCAGGCGGCGUGGACGGCGCUCCCCUCGGGAGGGCGCGUCAUCAUCUGCGAGGAGUUCCGCACCCCGGAGCGCCUG
rnacentral:tRNA from 1 species